ACAAAACUUCAGGGGUGUACGACAAUGAACAUUUACUGUUGCUCCUGAAUCCCUGGGUUGGCUGAGCCGUUCUGCUGAUCUGGGCCAACAUCUCACGUGUGAUCUGAUGUGUCUGCAGUCAGCUGGGGUCGUCAACUCUACUCCGUGGGGCUUCUCAUCCUCGAGCAGGCUAGCCUGGGCUACUUCACAUGGCAAUGGGAGGGGAUCCCACAGGAGCCCCUGAGGCCUGGGCUCAGAUCUGACACACCAUCACUUCUACAAUCCCAGGUGAGCCACGGCCCCAGUGUCCAAAGCCAAGUACAGAGCCACGGGUCACCAGGAGGAUGGCCUUUCACCAUCUCCCAGGAAAAUGUUUCUCCAGGCAGCUAUGCCAAUGGUGGAAAAGAAAGUCAAUGUGGACAAGCAAGUGCAAGAUUUACUAUCCAGUCCAUUUUCACCAAAGCCUGGGGGAGAAAACAGAGUAACCAGCCUCGUUCCCUGUUCUGAGCUCAUGGUGCGAGAAGGGACCUCCGCCUCCGUUCUCCAGCCCUCCUUCAGCUCAACCCAGGAUGUGCUGUCAAGGAUCUGGGGUCAGACGCAGUGCCAAGGCCGGGGGCACAGGAUCUGCAGUCAUCAGUCGCCCCUGAGAGCUCUAUCGUUGCAUCUGUGUGGUGCUUUCAGCUCGGAGUUCUCUCUGCUGCUUCCUCUCCAGGCGUGGGACACAGGGGUCUCUGGUGAGGCUGGGAGCCCAAAUCCCUUUGGUCUUAUGUCCUUGACAUACCAUGUACCCAUUUCUCCCUGGGUCAUUCUGUCUUCCCACUGCUCCAGGGGUCCACUGGCCACUCUCUCAUAGUGCAGCCCAGGGGAUAUCUCUUUUUCUUAGUCUGAGGGAAGCCCCUCUCUCUCUCUUUCCUAAGCCUCCCAAGCCGCUCCGCCUCCUCCCACAAACCCAUCCCUAACACGUUUAGGUUUUCAGAACAAUGACAGAAAUCUCCGGGAUAAUUCUACCUUCAGCUCUGACACAUUCCUCCCCCGAGGCAACCAAACACCAAGCCUGCCACCUGCCUGCAGGGGAAGAAGGAAAAGGGAGAAAAUGCAAAUUAUCCACAAUAUUAUCCAAACACUAGCAUUUAAGAAACUCUGACUACAUGUUCUAUCCACCCAGUCUGUCCUUUCAGGAGCACACCUGUACUCCGAGUGUUGAUGGCCUGUUUUAACUAAGCCUUGAAGAUAUUCACUCGGCCACCAGCUCCCUGCUGGAUCAGCUUGUUGGUGCCAGAGGGUGGGAGGUGGUCUAGGGAGAAAGUAGGCAGAAGAGUCUUUGGAAGCUCAGGAUAGAGCUGGGGCAGGACGCCUCAUGGGUUGACCCCAUCCUGCAGCCUGUUUCCCACAUCAUUCUCUCUCAGGUUUCAGAGAUGCCUCCACCAUGCUGCAGACCAGCGUUAUUCCUAUCCAAUGCCAAGGAGCAAUUCCUUAUUACCUGGCAUUUGAACUUUCUGGAAAGAUGAAUGUUCACAUUCCCUAGUUGUCUGCUCAUGAUGAGCUAGAGCUUAGAUUUCUAACCAAGUGGUCUCUUGGGAUGGGAAGGAUUCCACCAAACUGGGUUCUCACUGGGUCUGAGUAAAACUAGUCUCGGGAGUGGAAGUGUUGACAGCUGGAUUCCUCAUCCAGCAUCCCGGUGACACCAGCCUCUGCUCAACUGCCUCCAUGUGAUGGGAAACUUAUUACUUCCAGGACAGUCCAUUUUGGCUAGAGAUCAUUUUGACUACAAGACUUUUUUCCCUAAUAAAAGCUAUCUUUAAACCAAAUAUGAGUCCAUAUAUCUCUCCCUUGAACAUAUUUUCCUUUAAUGCAAAAAGAGUUGGAAAAUCAGAAAAUAAAGGUCUUUACAAGAACUAGA